rnacentral:rRNA from 1 species
AUUGAACGCUGGCGGCAUGCCUUACACAUGCAAGUCGAACGGUAACAGGUCUUCGGAUGCUGACGAGUGGCGAACGGGUGAGUAAUACAUCGGAACGUGCCUAGUAGUGGGGGAUAACUACUCGAAAGAGUGGCUAAUACCGCAUGGGAUCUACGGAUGAAAGCAGGGGAUCGCAAGACCUUGUGCUACUAGAGCGGCCGAUGGCAGAUUAGGUAGUUGGUGGGAUAAAAGCUUACCAAGCCGACGAUCUGUAGCUGGUCUGAGAGGACGAUCAGCCACACUGGGACGGAGACACGGCCCAGACUCCUACGGGAGGCAGCAGUGGGGAAUUUUGGACAAUGGGCGCAAGCCUGAUCCAGCAAUGCCGCGUGCAGGAUGAAGGCCUUCGGGUUGUAAACUGCUUUUGUACGGACCGAAAAGCCCUGGGUUAAUACCCUGGGGUCAUGACGGUACCGUAAGAAUAAGCACCGGCUAACUACGUGCCAGCCGCCGCCGUAAUAC